UGCAAGUCGAGCGAGACCUUCGGGUCUAGCGGCGGACGGGUGAGUAACGCGUGGGAACGUACCCUUUUCUGCAGGAUAGCCACUGGAAACGGUGAGUAAUACUGCAUACGCCCUUCGGGGGAAAGAUUUAUCGGAGAAGGAUCGGCCCGCGUUAGAUUAGGUAGUUGGUGGGGUAAUGGCCUACCAAGCCUACGAUCUAUAGCUGGUUUGAGAGGAUGAUCAGCCACACUGGGACUGAGACACGGCCCAGACUCCUACGGGAGGCAGCAGUGGGGAAUCUUAGACAAUGGGGGCAACCCUGAUCUAGCCAUGCCGCGUGAGUGAUGAAGGCCUUAGGGUCGUAAAGCUCUUUCGCUGGGGAAGAUAAUGACGGUACCCAGUAAAGAAACCCCGGCUAACUCCGUGCCAGCAGCCGCGGUAAUACGGAGGGGGUUAGCGUUGUUCGGAAUUACUGGGCGUAAAGCGCGCGUAGGCGGAUCAGAAAGUUGGGGGUGAAAUCCCGGGGCUCAACCUCGGAACUGCCUCCAAAACUCCUGGUCUUGAGUUCGAGAGAGGUGAGUGGAACUCCGAGUGUAGAGGUGAAAU
rnacentral:rRNA from 1 species